GACGAACGCUGGCGGCGUGCUUAACACAUGCAAGUCGAACGAAGUGGCGAACGGGUGAGUAACGCGUAAUCAACCUGCCCUUCAGAGGGGGACAACAGUUGGAAACGACUGCUAAUACCGCAUACUGAAGGAGGGGAUUUCGUCUGAUUAGCUAGUUGGAGGGGUAACGGCCCACCAGGGCGAUGAUCAGUCGCCGGUCUGAGAGCAUAAACGGCCACAUUGGGACUGAGACAAGGACCAGGAUCCUACGGGAGGCAUCAGUGGGGAACCUUCCGCAAUGGAUGAAAGUUUGACGGAGCAACGCCGCGUCAGCGAUGCCGGCCUUCGAGUUGUUAAGCUCUUUUAAUCGGUACGCCGUACCGGAAGAGAAAGCCACGAUUAACUACGUGCCAGCCGCCGCGGUAAUUC
rnacentral:rRNA from 1 species